UACGUAGGGUGCGAGCGUUAAUCGGAAUUACUGGGCGUAAAGCGUGCGCAGGCGGUCUGUUAAGACCGAUGUGAAAUCCCCGGGCUUAACCUGGGAACUGCAUUGGUGACUGGCAGGCUUUGAGUGUGGCAGAGGGAGGUAAAAUUCCACGUGUAGCAGUGAAAUGCGUAGAGAUGUGGAGGAAUACCGAUGGCGAAGGCAGCCUCCUGGGCCAACACUGACGCUCAUGCACGAAAGCGUGGGGAGCAAACAGG
rnacentral:rRNA from 1 species